AGGAAGGCGACGAACGAAAGGGCGGAAUUCGUCGGUUUCUCGGGUCGGCAGAGUCGGGCCAUCAGAUAAAUCCUGUAACUCCGGGUCAACUUGCGGCGAGAGGAAACCGAUGAGGAGGUUAAGAAGAUAGAUUCCCAGGGCAUACGAGAUAACGUAGAAUCCUUCCACCAGAUACACUCGCACGACAUACAGGACAGCGAUGAAGAAAAACGCAAUCCAGCGGUAUAGUAAAUAUGGCGUCGUUUUAUCCAAAAAGUGCUGGAACGAGAGAGAAGCAGAUGAAGUCCAUUGGCAAAAAGCACCGGAUGGAGUAACAUCGCCGGCACCGGCGCCGGCCGUAUUAAUAUCCAUAGAGUUAGAGAGUGUUUCUUUCAAGUACGGCAGGGUUGUUUCAAUUUUG
rnacentral:misc_RNA from 1 species